CACACACCCAUUAUAUUCAACAACGCAAAGAUCGAUCGAGCUCUCUUCUGGUUUGAAGGGAGGAAGUACAUGUAGAACACAUACAUCAGUUCCUCUCCUCACGGGCACGGCCGGCUAGCUUCUUCUUUCUCCUGCGCGCUGCAUUGCAUGCGCUUCUCCGAUCCGGCCGGCCGGCCGGCACUAUAGCUUGUAGUAAGAGUGUGUGUGUAUAUAUAUAUAUAUAUAUAUAUGGUAAAUUUUUUCUACUCCCUAGAAGUAGUUAUUCCCUACCUGCAUACGAGUAGAAUCUGUUUCAUCCCACCGAUAUGGCCUGCCGGGGCAAAACGGGUGCAACUAACCCGUUAUUAUGCGGACCCGUUUGUGUAUGGACCUUUAUUUAUCCAUGCAUCGCCAUCCAGAUACCUUUGCCUCAUCCCCAUUCAUUCAACGGCAGCAGCUACGAAUCGACAGCGGCAGUGGCGGGCUGGCGGCGGCCGGCGCAUACGAGACGAUCUAUUUCGUGGCUAUAGCUCAACCAGGUGAUGCCGGCGGCAUGGUGGCACCAGAUAGCGAGUGCACCAACCUCUCCAAAUCUCCCCAUGAGUAAAGGUGUUGCAGACAAUGUCAAUUUUCUGAUGCAGAUUAAAUCUAAGAAAGGGCAAAACCUGUUCUUUUUUUCAUCACCGGGCAGUUCGAUGUUUACAAGGCUGGCAUCUCCUCUUCGACGGCAGUGACUUGCCACCGGCGAAGCAGGUAGCAGAUUGCAUCUCAUCGAGUAAGCUAUGUCUGCGUCGCCUGCAUCGUCCGUCGGUCCAUGUGUCCAUGGUUCAUCGCUGCAAUGAUCACGAAGCAUUCGGUGCAUCGGCGACCAAAGCCAAGCUGAGAGAUAAAAUACUAGUAGUAAAAUAAUAUGCUCACAAUAAUGUAUGAACCAAUAUUCCUAUCCAAGAAAAGGUAUCUACAUAUACAAGGAUACUUCCAUACA